rfam:TPA: Bos taurus chromosome 14, whole genome shotgun sequence.
CCAAAGGCCCUUUUCAGGGCCACAAAACAAACAAACAAAUCCUU